GAUGAAUGCUAGCGGCAGGCCUAAUACAUGCAAGUCGAGGGAGAAUGUUGGAUUCGUCUGACAUGAAACCGGCGCACGGGUGCGUAACACGUAUGCAACCUACCUUUAACUGGGGUAUAGCUCAGAGAAAUCUGAAUUAAUCCCCCAUAAGACUACGACAUGGCAUCAUGAUGUAGUUAAAGCUCCGGCGGUUAAGGAUGGGCAUGCGGUACAUUAGCUAGUUGGUGAGGUAAUGGCUCACCAAGGCUACGAUGUAUAGGGGGUCUGAGAGGAUGAUCCCCCACACUGGUACUGAGACACGGACCAGACUCCUACGGGAGGCAGCAGUAGGGAAUAUUGGUCAAUGGACGCAAGUCUGAACCAGCCAUGCCGCGUGAAGGAUGAAGGCCCUAUGGGUCGUAAACUUCUUUUAUUAGGGAAGAAAAAACGGGAUGCGUCCUGUACUGACGGUACUUAAUGAAUAAGGAUCGGCUAACUUCGUGCCAGCAGCCGCAGUAA
rnacentral:rRNA from 1 species